UGGGGGAUAUUGCACAAUGGAGGAAACUCUGAUGCAGCGACGCCGCGUGAGGGAAGAAGGUUUUCGGAUUGUAAACCUCUGUCUUCGGGGAAGAAUAAAUGACGGUACCCGAGGAGGAAGCCACGGCUAACUACGUGCCAGCAGCCGCGGUAAUACGUAGGUGGCAAGCGUUGUCCGGAAUUACUGGGUGUAAAGGGAGUGUAGGCGGGAUGUCAAGUUGAAUGUGUAAUCUAUCGGCUCAACCGAUAAGCUGCGUUCAAAACUGGCAUUCUUGAGUGAAGUAGAGGCAAGCAGAAUUCCUAGUGUAGCGGUGAAAUGCGUAGAUAUUAGGAGGAAUACCAGUGGCGAAGGCGGCUUGCUGGGCUUUUACUGACGCUGAGGCUCGAAAGCGUGGGGAGCAAACAGG
rnacentral:rRNA from 2 species